UACGUAGGGGGCAAGCGUUAUCCGGAAUCAUUGGGCGUAAAGCGCGUGUAGGCGGUUCAGUAAGUCCGCUCUGAAAGCCCGGGGCUCAACCCCGGGAGGCGGGUGGAUACUGGCAAGCUCGAGUCCGGAAGAGGCGAGUGGAAUUCCUGGUGUAGCGGUGAAAUGCGCAGAUAUCAGGAGGAACACCAAUGGCGAAGGCAGCUCGCUGGGACGUGACUGACGCUGGAGACGCGAAAGCGUGGGGAGCAAACAGG
rnacentral:rRNA from 1 species